UACGUAGGGUGCAAGCGUUAAUCGGAAUUACUGGGCGUAAAGCGUGCGCAGGCGGUUUUGUAAGUCUGUCGUGAAAGCCCCGGGCUCAACCUGGGAAUUGCGAUGGAGACUGCAAGGCUUGAAUCUGGCAGAGGGGGGUAGAAUUCCACGUGUAGCAGUGAAAUGCGUAGAGAUGUGGAGGAACACCGAUGGCGAAGGCAGCCCCCUGGGCUAACACUGACGCUCAGGCACGAAAGCGUGGGGAGCAAACAGG
rnacentral:rRNA from 1 species